AUACUACUCCCUUCGUUCCAAAAGUCUUAUCUUACGUUUGUCUAAAAAUGGAUGUAUCUAAAUACUAAAAUAUGACUAGAUACAUUAAUAUCUAGACAAAUGUAAGACAAGAAUUUUGGGACGGAGGGAGUAUCUC
rfam:Hordeum vulgare subsp. vulgare, WGS project CAJW01000000 data, contig: morex_contig_234040